rnacentral:other from 1 species
GUCUUAAUCCCCUAGGAAUCGGGGAAUAGUUGUUUU